rnacentral:rRNA from 1 species
UACGGAGGGUGCAAGCGUUAUCCGGAUUCACUGGGCUUAAAGGGUGCGUAGGCGGGCAGGUAAGUCCGUGGUGAAAUCUCUGAGCUUAACUCAGAAACUGCCAUGGAUACUAUUUGUCUUGAAUAUUGUGGAGGUAAGCGGAAUAUGUCAUGUAGCGGUGAAAUGCUUAGAUAUGACAUAGAACACCAAUUGCGAAGGCAGCUCACUACACAAUCAUUGACGCUGAGGCACGAAAGCGUGGGGAUCAAACAGG